rnacentral:rRNA from 1 species
UACGUAGGGGGCUAGCGUUGUCCGGAAUCAUUGGGCGUAAAAGCGCGCGUAGGCGGCCCCGGUAAGUCCGCUGUGAAAGUCAAAGGCUCAACCCUUUGAAUGUCAGCGGAUACUGCCGGGCUAGAGUCCGGAGAGGCGAGUGAACUCCUGGUGUAGCGGUGGAAUGCGCAGAUAGCAGGAAGACACCAACGGCGAAGGCAGCU